rnacentral:tRNA from 1 species
GUGGGAGUAGCUGAGUUGGUUUUAGCGGUAGGUUGAAGCCCUACAGACGGAGGUUCAAUUCCUUCUUCCCACA